UACGGAGGGUGCGAGCGUUUGUUCGGAAUCACUGGGCGUAAAGCGCGUGUAGGCGGCCCAUUAAGUCUGAUGUGAAAGCCCGAGGCUCAACCUCGGAACUGCCUUCGAUACUGCGGGUCUCGAGUCCGGGAGAGGUGAGUGGAAUUCCUAGUGUAGAGGUGAAAUUCGUAGAUAUUAGGAAGAAACACCAGUGGCGAAGGCGGCUCACUGGCCCGGUACUGACGCUGAGGGAGCGAAAAGCGUGGGGGAGCCGAACAGG
rnacentral:rRNA from 1 species